rnacentral:rRNA from 1 species
UACGUAGGGCGCAAGCGUUUAUCCGGAAUUACUGGGCGUAAAGGGCUCGUAGGCGGCCAACUAAGUCAUACGUGAAAUCCCUCGGCUUAACCGGGGAACUGCGUCUGAUACUGGAUGGCUUGAGUUCGGGAGAGGGAUGCGGAAUUCCAGGUGUAGCGGUGAAAUGCGUAGAUAUCUGGAGGAACACCGGUGGCGAAGGCGGCAUCCUGGACCGAUACUGACGCUGAUGAGCGAAAGCCAGGGGAGCAAACGGG